GUGCUCGCUUCGACAGCACAUAUACUAAAAUUGGAACGCUACAGAAAAUAUUAGCAUGGCCCCUGCGCAAGGAUGACACGCAAAUUCGUAAAGCGUUCCAUAUUUUU
rnacentral:snRNA from 1 species